UACAGAGGGGGCGAGCGUUGUUCGGAAUUACUGGGCGUAAAGGGCGCGUAGGCGGCCAACUAAGUCAGACGUGAAAUCCCUCGGCUCAACCGGGGAACUGCGUCUGAUACUGGAUGGCUUGAGUAUCGGAGAGGAUAGCGGAAUUCCCGGUGUAGAGGUGAAAUUCGUAGAUAUCGGGAGGAACACCAGUGGCGAAGGCGGCUAUCUGGACGAAUACUGACGCUGAAGUUCGAAAGCGUGGGGAGCAAACAGG
rnacentral:rRNA from 1 species